UACAGAGGGUGCAAACGUUGUUCGGAAUCACUGGGCGUAAAGGGCGCGUAGGCGGCCGAUCAAGUCGGGGGUGAAAGCCUGUGGCUCAACCACAGAAUUGCCUUCGAUACUGUUUGGCUUGAGACCGGAAGAGGUUAGUGGAACUGCGAGUGUAGAGGUGAAAUUCGUAGAUAUUCGCAAGAACACCAGUGGCGAAGGCGGCUGACUGGUCCGGUUCUGACGCUGAGGCGCGAAAGCGUGGGGAGCAAACAGG
rnacentral:rRNA from 1 species